GGGGUGGGAUGGUGGACCAGGGAUAAGGGUGAGAGAAAGGGGUUCCGUUAGAAUUUUCGCUCUGGGGCAUGAGGGGUCUGCGGGGUAAGGCGCACAGAGCCGUGAGGAGGCGCCGUAAGGCCCGCGGCCAGGGCGCCCGAGUCCAGGCCCGGGUCCACGGGUGGUCGCACCUGGACCCGGGGAGCAGAGGGGCACAGAUGCUGCGAGAAAAAUUGUGGGUGCCCUGGAACGGGCUCAUUGUGAUCGGGAAGAGAAUGGAGCUCCUGGGUAGAAAUACACAAAAGCCUAGGAUGUGCGACCCAAAGCUUGACUCUGAGUACUGGGGACGAGAAGAUGUGGAAAAAAUGGUCUUGAAAGCGAAGUCAGGCCAAAGUCAGGAAAGGAUGGAUGUGAAGCUAGUAGCAAGUGCAUUAUGGGCUUCAGCAGGUUUGGGGGAAAACAGCCCAAAGGAGAUGGGGGGAAAGCAAGAAAUUAGAGGCAAAAUAGGCGCUGAAUCCGAGAAUGCAGGGACUACAGCAGGGUCUAGGAGGGGGUCUGGUUUUAAAGAGAGGUUGAAAUUUACUGGGGUGGGGACCAGAGGAGAGGACUUGAGAUCCAGACCACAUACACGAGGGCAGAAUGAGGAGGAGCUGAGGUCAAGUGGAGAGAAGCUGAGUGGAGAGAAGCUGAGGUCAAGUGGAUUGAAGUUGAGGUCAAGUGGAGAGCAGGUGAGUGGAGAGAAGUUGAGGUCAAGUGGAGAGCAGCUGAGUGGAGAGAAGCUGACAUCAAGUGGAGAAAAGCUGAGGUCAAGUAGAGAAAAGCUGAGGUCAAGUGGAGAGAAGCUGACAUCAAGUGGUGAGAAGCUGAGUCUGAGUGAAGAGAACCUGAGGUCAAGUGGAGAGCAGGAGGGAUCCAGGGGAGAGAAGCUGAGAAGUAGUGGAGAGGAUUUGAGAUCCACUGGAGAUAAAUUGCAGUCAAGUGCAGAGAAGCUAGAGGGUUCAGGAAUGGACAGCAUAACUGAAGAGACAACUGAAAGAAUGGUAGAAGUUACUGGUGAUAAAAAAUGGAUUAAAGUUCCUGAUCCUGAGAUGGAAAAUCCUUUUGAAAAGGUGGAAGGAAGUGAUGAAGAGCUAGAAGGGACUGAGGAAGCAGUGGGAGUUGAGGAUGUCUUGGGUGGAGUGAAUGAUAUUGCUGAUGAAUCUGUUUCUAUGGAAGAGAAAGAGGUUAUAGAUGAAGGUAAUGGUGAAUGAGGCAGAUGAAGGACUGAAGCUAAUGAAGGAGAGAGGCAGAUAGAGGGUGUUGCAAGUCAAGGAGGAGAAAUUAGAGCCAAGCAGAGCAUUAUUGACCCUGAAGAGGUAAAUAUGAGAGAGGUAAGGAGAGCAUGGGGAUGAAGAAUUUGCAAGGAUGAAGGUGGAGGCUAGGGCCAAAGGAAAUGAAGACGAAUGAGAAGGAGGGAAAUGGGAACAUUUUGAGGAGACAGAAAGGAUCUGAUAAUGUGUUGCUAUGUCGAGGAAAGGUGGAGAUUUUUUUCUUGGAGAAGAGCUGUGACUGAAGGGCUUGUUGGGAAAUGUUUGAGAAAUGGAUUUGGGAGGGGCUAGAGGAUUUAGUUUAAUGUGUGGUUGGUUUAUAAGUUAGAGAAGAAUGCAUAGUGAGAAAAAUGGGGAAUUACAGCAGGCUAAAGGGUAAAUAAUGAAGGUUGUGAAGGAAGAUGCAAGCUGGAGCAAGGAAAGAAGACUUCUGAGAGGAUCCUGAAGAGGAACGAGGGACUCCAAAGUGACACAAGCAAGAGAAAAGAAAGAAGUGAAGAAAAAAGCUCUCUGCCUUCCCAAGAUCAUCUACUCUUAGCCUCCUUUGGUGAAUCUCAGAGCACUGAGAAAUUGUUGCCUCUUUGAUAGGAGGCUUACACAGGCAUGACAUCAAGACAGCUGUGUCAGUCUCUCAGAUGGCCCUGCACAGCAUAUAAAUCAUGAACCAAAUAACCAGACUCGUUCUUUGGCUGGAUUACAUGUUCUCCUGGGAUAUCAGAAUCAUUCAACUGAGGCCACAGAAAGAAGUAGUGAAGAUCAAGACACCACAACAAAUCGCAGCCACCUUAGGCUGCUCCUGACUCAGGAUCUCUAGGACCAGAAAUCUACCCCGUUAGUCACAGGUGGGGAACUAGGAUGCAUAUUCUUAUGAAAUGGCCCCCUGGGAGGGACUGGGCACUUUGAGGGGCAGACAAUUCUGCGGGUGCUUAGAGAGGAUCUCCCCUGGUUCAGGCUGGACUUGCAGUGAGAGCCCUUCCUCAGACAUCUCCCCAGGGGAGGAAUAUGGCCAGGUUGGUAUUUGUCUUAUGGCCAGUCCUUAUUCUCAGCUUGAAGCCUACUUGGUUUCUUCCUUCUUGGGAAAUAAGGAGGAAAUAGUUUUGUUUGUCCAGGUGCCACCAGUCCAAUGACUGAUUCGGGCACACAAGUGUCUUCAGGGCGUAGUAUCAGAUCUGGUGCCCCCUGACAUCUCUAUUCCUGAUCUGGGUGUGCUGUAAACAGCAGGUUGAUUCAAAACUGGGAGGCAUUGGGAAACCCUUUGGGUAGGAGAUUUCGCAAUGAGAUUUUGAUUGGAAAAAAUACAGUGGGGUGAGGUUCUAAGGAAUAAAAGAGACAGAAAACACUCCCAUGCUGGCUCUCGGCUAGAUCGUGGGGAUAAACAGAAGAGCCUAGAAAAGCCUAGAGUGGAGGGGGGGCAGCCUACAGGAGCACACAGCUGUCCUUGCCUCUUCCCCCCCCCCCCGACAAGGAGGCGAAACCACACCUGGACCAGGCUUUCAGUCUAGGACAUGUCAGCACCAGCAAGGUACAGAUAGAUCAGAGGCCCCCGCAGAAGAGAGAGGGGGCUGGGGGGCAGGGGAGCAGGGUUGGCAGGAGGAUUAGGAGGAAAACUUAGUUACAGAAAGAUCUGAAAAGGCUUGUUGGAUA